GAGCCAAAUGCAGUGCUUGCUUCCUAUCUGUGGUCCAUUGCAUAGCAGUGUGCUUGGGUGCUGUGUAAGACAAUUCCCCCCAACGCCUCCAAAAAACAGGACAUGGUCCACUGCAGGAGUUCAUAAUCUAGGAGUCCAGAGAGUCCAGGCUCAUCAUCCCUUCAGAGCUGCUUGACAGGGUUGUCUGGGGAAUACAACCUUCCCCUGUCAAAUGCCUUUCAAUGUUUUCCUUCUCCUUUCUUACCCCUGUUUCAUCGUGUACCUGCAAUGGGACUCUAUUUCUGAUAUUAGAAAACCACCCAAUGGAGCUGAUAAAAAUGAGUUGGAACUUGUGACCAGCAGCUGGAUGAGAGGAGUGUGAAUCCCCCAAAUCUUAUGGAUAUAGUGUGCUUUCUCUGAUGUUCCUGCCAAAGUGAGGCUGGAAAGCUAGGAAGAUCUGUAAGAUGUGUGCCAGCACAAAGUGACUACAAUUCAAAAGUUCCAAAAACCUUGCUGAAACAAUUGCAAAUAGCUCAUCAUUUUAAAUCAGUGAACCCAAGGCUGAGUGUUUCAUCAAUUUACAGAAAACCAAGAAGAGAAAUCUGACAACUAUCCCAGUGUAUGACUUACCAUGGAGAUCUUCAAGUAGAAUCACUUUGGUUUUGGUCUCAUUUUCAUAUUAUAACACAAAUUUGUGUAUGUGGGUUAAGAUUCAUAUUUGAUAGGAACUGCUGGGAAUUCCUGCAGUUAUAUCCUCAAAAGACAAAAUAAGCACAACCAACAGAAUUGUGAAGCAAUAAAUUUGGUUAUGGAUGAAAACUGGGCUGAACAGUCAUAGGACAUGAAUUGUGCCUUUGACCUAAAAUGUGCUUUUCUUUCCUUAUCUACCCAGUGUAAUGGUACUACUCUUUCAACCAUCUUGAAUUCACUCACAUUUAUUCAUCAAAUCCUGAUCAGCUAUUCCCACUACCCACAAAGUGUAUCUUUUUUGUAUUACUUACUUUUUAUACAUUAACUCAUUUUCCCCCAAACAAUGCAAUAAAGUAAAAAAUAUUACUCUAUUUUAUAGAAACUUGCAGCUCAGAGAGGAUAAGAAACUUGCAAGUUGAUCCAAAAUAAAUUUCUAAAAAGCGUCAAAAA